GAUGAACGCUGGCGGCGUGCCUAAUACAUGCAAGUCGAGCGAACAGACGAGGAGCUUGCUCCUCUGACGUUAGCGGCGGACGGGUGAGUAACACGUGGAUAACCUACCUAUAAGACUGGGAUAACUUCGGGAAACCGGAGCUAAUACCGGAUAAUAUAUUGAACCGCAUGGUUCAAUAGUGAAAGACGGUUUUGCUGUCACUUAUAGAUGGAUCCGCGCCGCAUUAGCUAGUUGGUAAGGUAACGGCUUACCAAGGCAACGAUGCGUAGCCGACCUGAGAGGGGGAUCGGCCACCCGGGAGCGGGAACACGGUCAAGGGUCCUACGGGAGGCAGCAGAAGGGAAUCUUCCGCAAUGGGGGAAAGCCUGACGGAGCAACGCCGCGUGAGUGAUGAAGGUCUUCGGAUCGUAAAACUCUGUUAUUAGGGAAGAACAAAUGUGUAAGUAACUAUGCACGUCUUGACGGUACCUAAUCAGAAAGCCACGGCUAACUACGUG
rnacentral:rRNA from 1 species